UCACUGCUUCAGCAUCCACUGACUUUCGAUCCUAAAACAACCCUAAAGUGGUGGCUGUUUCUUCCCGUCUGCAGCUCAUGAUUUACCCACGCAGCCACUUAAAACUCGGAGGCACAGACCCUCGCUGUACCACCGGUUACAAAAUCAUAAGCAGCUUCGCCUCGGUCCGCAGGGGAAGGAUGAGUGCCCGGCGCCACUAAGUAUACAUGCUGCUGAAGCAAGCACUACAUGAGGCUUUUUAAAAGCUACACAGGAAACCCCGACCCAAUAAUGAAAAACGUUUGACUACAUGCAAAAUCCUGUAUGGCAAAAAUGCUGUAAACCAUGCCAAAGAUAAGAGACAGGCCAGGUCCAAGGACUACGAGGAGGCCCCACAAGACCAGCCAAGAGGAUCCUUGGCUUUGUGCAGGAAAGAAAUCGGAACUGGGAGGUAAAAGCAGUUUAUUGAAUAGUGUAAAUAACAGAGUAUAGCAGGCAGAG